CAGUCGCCGCGGGAAUACGAAGGGGGCUAGCGUUGUUCGGAUUUACUGGGCGUAAAGCGCACGUAGGCGGACUUUUAAGUCAGGGGUGAAAUCCCGGGGCUAACCCCGGAACUGCCUUUGAUACUGGGAGUCUUGAGUUCGAGAGAGGUGAGUGGAAUUGCGAGUGUAGAGGUGAAAUUCGUAGAUAUUCGGAAGAACACCAGUGGCGAAGGCGACUGACUGGACAAGUAUUGACGCUGAGGUGCGAAAGCGUGGGGAGCAAACAGGAUUAGAUACCCCAGUAGUCCCUGUCUCUUAUACA
rnacentral:rRNA from 1 species